rnacentral:rRNA from 1 species
CUACGGAGGGUGCAAGCGUUAUCCGGAUUUAUUGGGUUUAAAGGGUGCGCAGGCGGACCUGUCAGUCAGUGGUGAAAUCCCGGGGCUCAACCCCGGAACUGCCAUUGAUACUACAGGUCUUGAAUACGGUUGAAGUAGGCGGAAUGUAGCAUGUAGCGGUGAAAUGCAUAGAUAAGCUACAGAACACCGAUCGCGAAGGCAGCUUACUAAGCCGAUAUUGACGCUCAGGCACGAAAGCGUGGGUAGCGAACAGGAUUAGAAACCCUAGUAGUCC